UACGGAGGGUGCAAACGUUGCUCGGAAUUAUUGGGCGUAAAGCGCGUGUAGGCGGCAUAGCAAGUCGGGCGUGAAAGCCCUGGUCUCAACCCAGGAAGUGCGUUCGAUACUGCUAAGCUAGAGUGCGGGAGAGGGUAGCGGAAUUCCCGGUGUAGAGGUGAAAUUCGUAGAUAUCGGGAGGAACACCAGUGGCGAAGGCGGCUACCUGGACCGACACUGACGCUGAGACGCGAAAGCGUGGGGAGCAAACAGG
rnacentral:rRNA from 1 species